rnacentral:rRNA from 1 species
GACGAACGCUGGCGGCGUGCCUAAUACAUGCAAGUUGAGCGAUGAAGAUUGGUGCUUGCACCAAUUUGAAGAGCAGCGCACGGGUGAGUAACGCGUGGGGAAUCUGCCUUUGAGCGGGGGACAACAUUUGGAAACGAAUGCUAAUACCGCAUAACAACUUUAAACAUAAGUUUUAAGUUUGAAAGAUGGAAUUGCAUCACUCAAAGAUGAUCCCGCGUUGUAUUAGCUAGUUGGUGAGGUAAAGGCUCACCAAGGCGGUGAUACAUAGCCGACCUGAGAGGGUGGUCGGCCACAUUGGGACUGAGACACGGCCCAAACUCCUACGGGAGGCAGCAGUAGGGAAUCGUCGGCAAUGGACGAAAGUCUGACCGAGCAACGCCGCGUGAGUGAAGAAGGUUUUCGGAUCGCAAAACUCUGUUGGUAGAGAAGAACGUUGGUGAGAGUGGAAAGCUCAUCAAGUGACGGUAACUACCCAGAAAGGGACGGCUAACUACGUG